rnacentral:lncRNA from 1 species
GAACGGAGAUGGAAGUGCCUGGCAUGUGUCAACCCAAAGUUUUGUCUAUCAUUUUCUGCUAUUUACAAGAUUACGAGACAAGCUGGACUUCAGAUUCCUUGGCCGUGUUGCUAUACAGCCCUUAUACUGAGGUGUGGGAUGGUCCAAACCAACAACUUCGGUAACGAGGAGCCAUCGAGGGAGAGAAAAUGUCCCAGAGUCACUGGAAAGGUUUCAAAUUCAUUUUGUGAAAGUGAAAUUGGUCUCACUGCAUCAAAUACCUCUUUGAAAUGGGAGACCUUCCCCGGCCGAGGCGUUUCUGCCUGGUGGCCGCCGGGACCGACCCGGUAAUGCACCGCAGCCUUCGGAGAGAUUCAUCUGAACUCACUGUGAGAGGAGAAACUCGAGAAUUUGGCACGGUGAGAGGAAAAUUAAUAGAAAAACUAUCGGUAUCUUCUUACGAGCACAUUCUGGAACACGGCACAUCCUGGAAAUAUUAAUUCCCACUAUUUAUUUAAG